rnacentral:rRNA from 1 species
CAGUAGCCGCGGGAAUACGAAGGGUGCAAGCGUUAAUCGGAAUUACUGGGCGUAAAGCGUGCGUAGGCGGAUAUUUAAGUCAGGGGUGAAAUCCCAGAGCUCAACUCUGGAACUGCCUUUGAUACUGGGUAUCUUGAGUAUGGAAGAGGUGAGUGGAAUUCCGAGUGUAGAGGUGAAAUUCGUAGAUAUUCGGAGGAACACCAGUGGCGAAGGCGGCUCACUGGUCCAUUACUGACGCUGAGGUGCGAAAGCGUGGGGAGCAAACAGGAUUAGAUACCCCCGUAGUCCCUGUCUCUUAUAC